CCGUGCUAUAGAAACCAGAACCACUAUUACAACACUUUUUCUAUAUUUUAUAUCCUUUCUAAAUAAUGUAUAUCCUUUUAGAUUAAUAGCCCAAUCAAGUGUUUCACCCCACCAAUUACCAGUAUUUCCAAUUAUGUCAUACUGUUCCUUGUAAUAUCUCAAGCUCACCCAUUUUCCUACACAAACGCAUUGUGUUAGCAAGCAGACAUUAGUUACAAUUUGUUUCUUGAACUUUAGACAGCCACUAGAGGCAGUCUUAAGCCUGCAAUAUAAACAUUGCAUGGUUAAAGCGGCACUGUUGUGGCCAGUUUUUUUUUAAUCCCCCUCCCGACUCCACUACAUCUAAUUGUCCCCCUACUCACCCCCAAAUGCCCCUAAGCCCCCCAUAUUACCUAUUUUUUUCAUCUUUAUUUCGUGCCCGGACCUAGGUCCUGGUCCCCGCCAUCUUUGUGUGGGUAGAUGAAGUCCCUGUGGGACAUGUCAUCUGCCCACACUAGACAGCGCUGUGAAAUUCCCAUGCAUGCCCAUUUAAACACUUGGGCAUUCGAACAGGAAUUUCAUCUAUUCAUCAGAAAGACUAAUAAAUGGAUAGAA